rnacentral:rRNA from 1 species
AGAACGAACGCUGGCGGCAGGCCUCAAACAUGCAAGUCUAGGGGGCGUAGCAAUACGUCACCGGCGGACGGGUGCGUAACACGUGGGAAUGUACUUACUGGUUCGGAACAACUCAGGGAAACUUGAGCUAAUACCGAAUGUGCCCGAAAGGGGAAAGAUUUAUCGCCAGUAAAUCAGCCCGCGUCCGAUUAGCUAGUUGGCGGGGUAAAGGCCCACCAAGGCGACGAUCGGUAGCUGUUCUGAGAGGAAGAUCAGCCACACUGGGACUGAGACACGGCCCAGACUCCUACGGGAGGCAGCAGUUGGGAAUCUUGGACAAUGGGGAAACCCUGAUCCAGCCAUGCCGCGUGAGUGAUGAAGGCCUUGGGUUGUAAAACUCUUUCGACGGGGACGAUAAUGACGGUACCCGUAGAAGAAGCUCCGGCUAACUUCGUGCCAGCAGCCGC